AGACAGCCAGGAUGUUGGCUUAGAAGCAGCCAUCAUUUAAAGAAAGCGUAAUAGCUCACUGGUCGAGUCGGCCUGCGCGGAAGAUGUAACGGGGCUAAACCAUGCACCGAAGCUGCGGCAGCGACACGAUGUGUUGUUGGGUAGGGGAGCGUUCUGUAAGCCUGCGAAGGUGACCUGUGAGGGUUGCUGGAGGUAUCAGAAGUGCGAAUGCUGACAUAAGUAACGAUAAAGCGGGUGAAAAGCCCGCUCGCCGGA
rnacentral:rRNA from 2 species